AUGCCGCCCUCGCCGGCCAGAAGGGAGCUGCGGCGGGGGACAGGAUCCGGGGCGGGGGGCACCGCGCCACACCGGGAGGAGACCGUUCCUGGGCACUCAUUCGAGCAAACAAAGCCCGGAACCUCUGGUGCCAGCGGCCGCGAAAGCCAGGAUGUCCCCAAGUGGCAGGGCGCACGGGUACCAGGGCCAUUACAAGUUUCCCGCACUCCCAGACCCCGAGCGGACAACAAAAGAUUCUCUUCGCUUCCCCACCGUCUCUGCGGAACCGCUUCUCCCACCACAGAACCCAAACCUGGUGCUGGGCACCACCGGCGCUCUUCCACCCAACGUCCGCCAGCCCUUGAGGGCACAACGCUUGCCCCCGCCUUUGCACCAGGACUGGGCGCUCCUGAGAAUCCCACCCUCUCGGGGCCUCUCUGCUCCCUCCCUGCUGGCCCGAAAGUGAGGACGGGCCCCGGGUCCUACACGCGCGUCCCCCUGCCAGGCAGCACCGGAUGGCGCCGGGCGUGUGCGCCGCGCGGGUGGGGAAGCUCGAGGCGCGGAGCCCCGCGGUCUCCCGGGCACAGGGCGGAGAGGAGCGGCGGGCUGGGCUCACGACUGCUCCCCCAGGGCCGGGCAACGCUCGGGAGGCAGACACCAGACAGAAUAGGACGCAGCGACCACAAAGCCGACAGCGCGUGCCGGCCGCGGCCCCGGGACCCGCUGCCCAGAGCCGGGCCGCCAGGGAGGUGGGGCGCGCCGGGGCGCCCCAGCCGUACCUUUUCGGUGCAUCGACGGGCAGGCGGCCGGGGCUCGGGGCGGGCUGGUACAGCGUGCAUCCCAUUUAGUAAUCCAUUAUCGAGGAGAUCUCUGCGGGCCGCAAGCUGCGCUCUCUCCUCUGCAAGCCUUUGUCAUUCCUACAUGUGUGCUUGUCUCUUUGGGGGUAACAGUCGCGGCGACUACUUUCUGGGAAGCAAACGCGCUGUGUUCAUCUCCAGUGACAGGCGCAGAAGGGGAGAGGGGGGAAAAGAAGGAAAGAAAGAAAGAAAAAAAAAACAACCCCAACAAGGAAGGAGUGAAUGUUCAAGAAACUCUUCUCCAAAUCCAAAUUCCACUUGGGAUUCCACUCCGGUGAGCCCCUUCGGUGGUGUCUGCGCGGAUUAA
rnacentral:lncRNA from 1 species